CAGAUUCACUUCGGUGAUGACGCUGGGAACGCGAGCGGCGGAUGGGUGAGUAACACGUGGGUAACCUGCCCUAAAGUCUGGGAUACCACUUGGAAACAGGUGCUAAUACCGGAUAACAACAAUAGCUGCAUGGCUAUUGCUUAAAAGGCGGCGAAAGCUGUCGCUAAAGGAUGGACCCGCGGUGCAUUAGCUAGUUGGUAAGGUAAUGGCUUACCAAGGCGACGAUGCAUAGCCGAGUUGAGAGACUGAUCGGCCACAUUGGGACUGAGACACGGCCCAAGCUCCUACGGGAGGCAGCAGUAGGGAAUCUUCCACAAUGGGCGAAAGCCUGAUGGAGCAACGCCGCGUGAGUGAAGAAGGUUUUCGGAUCGUAAAGCUCUGUUGUUGGUGAAGAAGGAUAGAGGUAGUAACUGGCCCCUAUUUGACGGUAAUCAACCAGAAAGUCACGGCUAACUACGUGCCAGCAGCCGCGGUAAUACGUAGGUGGCAAGCGUUGUCCGGAUUUAUUGGGCGUAAAGCGAGCGCAGGCGGAAAGAUAAGUCUGAUGUGAAAGCCCCCGGCUUAACCGAGGAAUUGCAUCGGAAACUGUGUUUCUUGAGUGCAGAAGAGGAGAGUGGAACUCCAUGUGUAGCGGUGGAAUGCGUAGAUAUAUGGAAGAACACCAGUGGCGAAGGCGGCUCUCUGGUCUGUAACUGACGCUGAGGCUCGAAAGCAUGGGUAGCGAACAGGAUUAGAUACCCUGGUAGUCCAUGCCGUAAACGAUGAGUGCUAAGUGUUG
rnacentral:rRNA from 1 species